rnacentral:rRNA from 1 species
CCUACGGGAGGCAGCAGUGAGGAAUAUUGGGCAAUGGGCGGGAGCCUGAACCAGCCAAGUCGCGUGAAGGAAGAAGGUACUUAGUAUUGUAAACUUCUUUUGUCGGGGAACAAAGGCGGAGACGCGUCUCCGGAUGAGUGUACCCGAAGAAAAAGCAUCGGCUAACUCAGUGCCAGCAGCCGCGGUAAUCCGGAGGAUACGAGCGUUAUCCGGAUUGAUUGGGUUUAAAGGGUGGGCAGGCGGGAGAUCAAGUCAGCGGUAAAAUGUCGGGGCUCAACCCCGGCCGGCCGUUGAAACUGGUUUUCUAGAGUGGGGGAGAGGUAUGCGGAAUUCGUUGUGUAGCGGUGAAAUGCGUAGAUAUCACGAAGAACUCCAGUUGCGAAGGCAGCACUCCGGCUCCAUACUGACGCUGAGGCACGAAAGCGUGGGGAUCGAACAGGAUUAGAUACCCCAGUAGUC